GCUCAGGACGAACGCUGGCGGCGUGCCUAAUACAUGCAAGUCGAACGAACUCUGGUAUUGAUUGGUGCUUGCAUCAUGAUUUACAUUUGAGUGAGUGGCGAACUGGUGAGUAACACGUGGGAAACCUGCCCAGAAGCGGGGGAUAACACCUGGAAACAGAUGCUAAUACCGCAUAACAACUUGGACCGCAUGGUCCGAGNUUGAAAGAUGGCUUCGGCUAUCACUUUUGGAUGGUCCCGCGGCGUAUUAGCUAGAUGGUGGGGUAACGGCUCACCAUGGCAAUGAUACGUAGCCGACCUGAGAGGGUAAUCGGCCACAUUGGGACUGAGACACGGCCCAAACUCCUACGGGAGGCAGCAGUAGGGAAUCUUCCACAAUGGACGAAAGUCUGAUGGAGCAACGCCGCGUGAGUGAAGAAGGGUUUCGGCUCGUAAAACUCUGUUGUUAAAGAAGAACAUAUCUGAGAGUAACUGUUCAGGUAUUGACGGUAUUUAACCAGAAAGCCACGGCUAACUACGUGCCAGCAGCCGCGGUAAUACGUAGGUGGCAAGCGUUGUCCGGAUUUAUUGGGCGUAAAGCGAGCGCAGGCGGUUUUUUAAGUCUGAUGUGAAAGCCUUCGGCUCAACCGAAGAAGUGCAUCGGAAACUGGGAAACUUGAGUGCAGAAGAGGACAGUGGAACUCCAUGUGUAGCGGUGAAAUGCGUAGAUAUAUGGAAGAACACCAGUGGCGAAGGCGGCUGUCUGGUCUGUAACUGACGCUGAGGCUCGAAAGUAUGGGUAGCAAACAGGAUUAGAUACCCUGGUAGUCCAUACCGUAAACGAUGAAUGCUAAGUGUUGGAGGGUUUCCGCCCUUCAGUGCUGCAGCUAACGCAUUAAGCAUUCCGCCUGGGGAGUACGGCCGCAAGGCUGAAACUCAAAGGAAUUGACGGGGGCCCGCACAAGCGGUGGAGCAUGUGGUUUAAUUCGAAGCUACGCGAAGAACCUUACCAGGUCUUGACAUACUAUGCAAAUCUAAGAGAUUAGACGUUCCCUUCGGGGACAUGGAUACAGGUGGUGCAUGGUUGUCGUCAGCUCGUGUCGUGAGAUGUUGGGUUAAGUCCCGCAACGAGCGCAACCCUUAUUAUCAGUUGCCAGCAUUAAGUUGGGCACUCUGGUGAGACUGCCGGUGACAAACCGGAGGAAGGUGGGGAUGACGUCAAAUCAUCAUGCCCCUUAUGACCUGGGCUACACACGUGCUACAAUGGAUGGUACAACGAGUUGCGAACUCGCGAGAGUAAGCUAAUCUCUUAAAGCCAUUCUCAGUUCGGAUUGUAGGCUGCAACUCGCCUACAUGAAGUCGGAAUCGCUAGUAAUCGCGGAUCAGCAUGCCGCGGUGAAUACGUUCCCGGGCCUUGUACACACCGCCCGUCACACCAUGAGAGUUUGUAACACCCAAAGUCGGUGGGGUAACCUUUU
rnacentral:rRNA from 2 species